rnacentral:tRNA from 1 species
UUACUUUGGCAGAUUANUGCUUUAAAUUUAGAAUUUAAAUAUGUAUGUUAAAUACAGGUAAUA